CGAACGGUAACAGGAAGAAGCUUGCUUCUUUGCUGACGAGUGGCGGACGGGUGAGUAAUGUCUGGGAAACUGCCUGAUGGAGGGGGAUAACUACUGGAAACGGUAGCUAAUACCGCAUAACGUCGCAAGACCAAAGAGGGGGACCUUCGGGCCUCUUGCCAUCGGAUGUGCCCAGAUGGGAUUAGCUAGUAGUUGGGGUAACGGCUCACCUAGGCGACGAUCCCUAGCUGGUCUGAGAGGAUGACCAGCCACACUGGAACUGAGACACGGUCCAGACUCCUACGGGAGGCAGCAGUGGGGAAUAUUGCACAAUGGGCGCAAGCCUGAUGCAGCCAUGCCGCGUGUAUGAAGAAGGCCUUCGGGUUGUAAAGUACUUUCAGCGGGGAGGAAGGGAGUAAAGUUAAUACCUUUGCUCAUUGACGUUACCCGCAGAAGAAGCACCGGCUAACUCCGUGCCAGCAGCCGCGGUAAUACGGAGGGUGCAAGCGUUAAUCGGAAUUACUGGGCGUAAAGCGCACGCAGGCGGUUUGUUAAGUCAGAUGUGAAAUCCCCGGGCUCAACCUGGGAACUGCAUCUGAUACUGGCAAGCUUGAGUCUCGUAGAGGGGGGUAGAAUUCCAGGUGUAGCGGUGAAAUGCGUAGAGAUCUGGAGGAAUACCGGUGGCGAAGGCGGCCCCCUGGACGAAGACUGACGCUCAGGUGCGA
rnacentral:rRNA from 1 species